UACGUAGGUGGCGAGCGUUGUCCGGAUUUACUGGGCGUAAAGAGCGCGCAGGCGGCCGUACAAGUCGCGUGUGAAAGCCCCCGGCUCAACUGGGGAGGGUCACGCGAUACUGUUCGACUCGAAGGCAGGAGAGGGAAGUGGAAUUCCCGGUGUAGUGGUGAAAUGCGUAGAUAUCGGGAGGAACACCAGUGGCGAAGGCGACUUCCUGGCCUGUUCUUGACGCUGAGGCGCGAAAGCUAGGGUAGCAAACGGG
rnacentral:rRNA from 1 species